UUGACAGUUGAAAUAGUACCAAACUCCAAGCUGAAAUGUGCAACUAAAUCGUGUAUAUUUUUGUCAAUAUUGUUCGCUGGCUUUGUUAAAUUCACUUGCAAUGGCUCGACAUAAGUUACAACAUACAAACUGAGCAGAGCCCACGAAAGAGCUAUCCAUAAUCCAUACCCAUACAGUCAUUCAGCUUCCUUGCUAUUUAGAAAUUGUUGCCCAUUAGUUGAAGAAGAAUUGCUAUU